AUUUAAAUAAGUUCUCAGGAAAAGCACAUCAUCUCUCAGGACUUCAGAAUUUCAGUCUCUGACUCUUGAGUCUUAUCUUGGAUAUCAGGUAUCAUUCAUGCUCUAAUACCGGGGUCACAUCAUCUACACCAUUCUCAAGCCAGGAACCUGGCUCAUUUUCCUGCACUCUGGACUCAGCCAAAUAUGAAGAUCCUUGUCUUUGCCUUUAUCAUGGCUCUCAUGGUUGCCAUGAUCGGAGCUGAUUCAUCUGAAGAGAAACAUAGAUUGUAUCCUGCAUCGCUUAGAUGGUAUUUCAAUCGGCCACGUCAAUAUCCUUGGAUGCUUCCAGGUCCUUAUCCAGCUCCUUUCAAUGCUGCUUGGUAAUCCCAGGAUAUGAUUCCAGAGGCUUGGUGGAAAGUCCUAUUUGCUGUCUUUCAUGAUGAUUCUUCCUAUUCAAAAGUCCUUUACCCACCUAGCAAAAUUUUGUAGCCCGGGUAUAAUGAAUACACCCAAAGUACUUUUAAAAUCAUGUGAAAAGUAAUUAAAACACUCAGUUUUACUUUUA